UUGACAUGAAUCUGAUUUUCCCUCCAAAACUCCAUGGAAACAGCUUCAUCCAUCUCUCACUCUGUUCCGACCAGCAAUGCGCCGUCUCCGUCGUUGUCCGACUCAGCAACCUGCUCAGCUCUAUUUCCUCGACACGGUCAUUGCGCCACGUUACUCAAAUCCACGCUCGAAUCGUAUCUCUCAAUCUUAUCUCUCACUCUCAGCUCUUUUUUUUUUUUGUUAAAACCUCCUCAGUUCAUACGCUAAAUGUGGCCACAUCGAUCAAAGCUUGCUACUUUUCUCUUCCACAGAUGAUUUCGUCAAGAAUGUCAUCUCUUUCGCGUCGAUUAUCACCCACUUCUAUCGUCUCCAUCGGCCCUUGGAUGCUCUGAUGUUUUUCAACAAGAUGAGAUCCUCUGGUCUGUACCCAAAUUACUUCACUUUCUCUGCUGUCUUGUGCGCAGACUACGGUCUUGUCUCAUGGAGAGCCGAUCCAUGGCCUCGUUUUGAAACAUGGGUUUGACUAUCAUGUCUUUGUUGGUAGCGGUUUGGUUGACAUGUAUGCCAAGUGUGGGAAUAUGUGUCCGCGGGGAAGGUGUUUGAUGAAAUGCCUGAGAGAAACCUCGUCUCCUGGAAUUCUAUGAUCAUGGGUUCGUUUCAGAGCAAGUUGUACGAGGAAUGUUUUUGUAGAUUUAGAGAGGUUUUAAGGGAAGGGUUUAUAUUUCCUGAUCAAGCCAGUUUUUCAAGUAUGUUGAGUGCCUGCUCUAAGGCGGGAAGCCUAGAAGUUGGGAAACAGGUCCAUGGGAUUGGUAUCAAAUACGGGUUGAAGGAUCUUUCGUAUGUGAAUAAUUCCCUGAUUGACAUGUAUAUCAAAUGUGGGUUCUUCUGUGAUGCUGGUAAAUUAUUUGAGAUGGUGGCAGAAAGAGAUGUUAUUUCAUGGAAUGUUAUGUUGAUGGGCCUUGUGUGGAACAAGAAUUUUGAAGAGGUGUGUGCCGUCUUCCAGGCCAUGAGAAGGGAAGGUGUGCUACCGGAUGAAGCUUCGUACUCCACCGUUCUGAAUGCUUCUGCUGAUUUUGCAUCAUUAGUUCUAGGUGCUGUAAUACAUGCUCAUAUCAUAAAAGCAGGAUUUACAAAUACCAGUCAUAUUCAGAACUCAUUGAUUAUUAUGUAUGCCAAAUGCGGGAGCUUGCCUGAUGCCUGCCAAGUCUUUGAGGAGAUUGAGAACCGCAAUACGGUUUGUUGGUGUGCCAUGAUAACCUCUUUUCAACAGCAUGGCUGUGCAGCAGAAGCAGCUGAAACGUUUGAGAAAAUGAUUGGAGAAGGGAUUAAACCAAAUGAAAUAACGUUCGUGUCUGUGCUGCCAGCUUGUGCUCAUGCUGGAUGUGUAACAGAAGGACGUGCUUACUUUGAUUCCAUGGCAAAGAUGCAUGAUAUAACCCCCCAGACACGAGCACUAUGCUUGCAUUGUUGACUUGAUUGCCCGCUCUGGUCAACUAGAAGAGGCAAUGAGCGUCAUAAAAUCAAUGCCUAUUGAACCCAACUCCUCGGUCUGGGGAGCACUGCUCAGUGCCUGUAUGAUUUACAGAAAUCUUGAAGUGGGUAAAGAAACUGCGGGGAAGCUUUUUGAGCUGGAACCUAAUAACCCCGGAAAUUAUGUGCUUCUUGCUAACCUUUAUUCCCGAAACGGAAAACUGAAAGAAGCUGAUGAAGUUAGAAGAUUGAUGGGUUUGAAUCAAGUGAGAAAAGAACCAGGUCAGAUCUGGAUUGAUGUAAAAACAAGACCUAUGUGUUUACUGUCGAAGAUCGAUCACAUCCAAGGAUGGAUGAGAUACAUAAAAUGUUAAAGAAGUCAGAAGAAUUGGUAAAGAGUAAAGGAUAUGAGGCUGAAAUCCAGUUUGCAGUGAACAGCACAGAACAAAGAAAAGAUCAGAACUUGUGGUAUCACAGUGAGAGACUAUCCCUUGCUUUUGGACUUCUUGAACCCCCUCCUGGAGCUCCUAUGAGGAUAAAAAAGAACCUCAGGACAUGUGGUGAUUGUCAUACUGUAAUGAAAUUUGCUUCUGGGAUUUUUGGGAGAGAAAUCUUUGUUAGGGAUGUCAAUAGAUUCCAUCGGUUCUCCGAAGGAUCAUGCUCUUGUGGAGACUUCUGUUUUGCAGCUAUUAUUUGUUCGAGGCAUACAAAGACUUGGAGAAAAGAAGAAAAAUAUUCACACAAAUCCAUAACACAAGGCAAUCACUUU